UUUCUUUUCUUUUCUCUUUUCUUUUCUUUUCUUUUCCCUCCAAUAUCAUAUUUUUAUCAAUAAGGCAUAUAAAGCACCCUCAAAUAAAAGAAAAAGAUCAUGACGAUGAU
rnacentral:ribozyme from 1 species